rnacentral:rRNA from 1 species
CACGGGGGGCCUACGGGAGGCAGCAGUGAGGAAUAUUGCACAAUGGAGGAAACUCUGAUGCAGCCAUGCCGCGUGCAGGAUGACGGCCCUACGGGUUGUAAACUGCUUUUUUACAAGAAGAAACCUUGGUACGUGUACCAACUUGACGGUAUUGUAAGAAUAAGCACCGGCUAACUCCGUGCCAGCAGCCGCGGUAAUACGGAGGGUGCAAGCGUUAUCCGGAUUUAUUAGGUUUAAAGGGUUCGCAGGCGGAAUUUUAAGUCAGUGGUGAAAGCCUAUAGCUCAACUAUAGAACUGCCACUGAUACUGAUAUUCUUGAGUGUAGAUGAAGUGGGCGGAAUAUGUCAUGUAGCGGUGAAAUGCAUAGAUAUGACAUGGAACACCAAUUGCGAAGGCAGCUCACUAAACUAUUACUGACGCUCAUGAACGAAAGCAUGGGGAGCGAACAGGAUUAGAUAUCCCUGGUAGUCCAUGCUGUAAACUAUGAUCACUAGAUGUUGGCGAUAUAUUGUCCAGUGUUUAAGAGAAAUCGUUAAGU